UUAGAUUUUUUCCUGUACUGCUCCAACAACUGGAAAGUUGAACGAUACGAUCAAAUUUGAAUUCGAUUGAAGAGUGCACAAAAUGGUAAAGGAAGUAGCGUAAAUGCAGAUGCUCCAGUGGAUAGCGCGAGCUUCAAACCAAAUGCUAUUGCGAGAUUGCUUUCAGGCAUUGGCACAGUGAAUGGCAGCUGAAAAAUUUUGACCCUUGUUUCUGGAAGUGAAAUGUUAGAUGUAAGUAAUGAUGUCUGAGACCCUUAUCACACGGCAUUUGUUUCACAUGAACAACUUGUUUCGGACAAUUUUUCUGCCUGGUUUACUAUUGAAAGAAAGACAUGCAACGUUUUCCUUCCUUUCUAAAAAAA